UUCUUGGUUUCUUUAAUGGGUUUCUUUUAA
rnacentral:piRNA from 1 species